UGCCAGCAGCCGCGGUAAUACGGAGUGUGCUAGCGUUGUUCGGAUUUACUGGGCGUAAAGCGCAUGUAGGCGGCUUGGCAAGUCGGAUGUGAAAUCCCGGGGCUCAACUCCGGAACUGCAUUCGAAACUGCCUUGCUUGAGUCUGGGAGGGGGUUGCGGAAUUCCGUGUGUAGAGGUGAAAUUCGUAGAUAUACGGAGGAACACCCGUGGCGAAGGCGGCAACCUGGACCGGUACUGACGCUGAGAUGCGAAAGCGUGGGGAGCAAACAGGAUUAGAUA
rnacentral:rRNA from 1 species